rnacentral:rRNA from 1 species
GGGCAGCAUUUUAGUUUGCUUGCAAACUGAAGAUGGCGACCGGCGCACGGGUGAGUAACACGUAUCCAACCUGCCGAUAACUCCGGAAUAGCCUUUCGAAAGAAAGAUUAAUACCGGAUGGCAUACGAAUAUCGCAUGAUAUUUUUAUUAAAGAAUUUCGGUUAUCGAUGGGGAUGCGUUCCAUUAGUUUGUUGGCGGGGUAACGGCCCACCAAGACUACGAUGGAUAGGGGUUCUGAGAGGAAGGUCCCCCACAUUGGAACUGAGACACGGUCCAAACUCCUACGGGAGGCAGCAGUGAGGAAUACUGGUCAAUGGGCGAGAGCCUGAACCAGCCAAGUAGCGUGAAGGAUGAAGGCUCUAUGGGUCGUAAACUUCUUUUAUAUGGGAAUAAAGUUUUCCACGUGUGGAAUUUUGUAUGUACCAUAUGAAUAAGGAUCGGCUAACUCCGUGCCAGCAGCCGCGGUAAUACGGAGGAUCCGAGCGUUAUCCGGAUUUAUUGGGUUUAAAGGGAGCGUAGGUGGAUUGUUAAGUCAGUUGUGAAAGUUUGCGGCUCAACCGUAAAAUUGCAGUUGAAACUGGCAGUCUUGAGUACAGUAGAGGUGGGCGGAAUUCGUGGUGUAGCGGUGAAAUGCUUAGAUAUCACGAAGAACUCCGAUUGCGAAGGCAGCUCACUAGACUGUUACUGACA